GCCUCAAUACCAAUGAAGAUAUACUACUUCCUUACAACUUCCUUUACCACUGGAUCUUGUUAGUCAUUAAAGUUGAUAAAGGAACAGUUGAAGUACUGGACUCACUACUUAAGGAAGAAAGUGACUUCGCCAUCUUGAAGGGGAUACUCGACAGGGCUUGGGCAAAGUUCAUCAAGGUGACUCCAGGCAAGUGG